UCCGGUUUGUCACCGGCAGUCUCGCAUGAGUCCCCAACUAAAUGCUGGCAACAUGCGACAAGGGUUGCGCUCGUUGCGGGACUUAACCCAACAUCUCACGACACGAGCUGACGACAGCCAUGCAGCACCUGUGUCCAGGUUCCCUUUCGGGCACUCCUGCAUUUCUGCAGGAUUCCGCACAUGUCAAGGGUAGGUAAGGUUUUUCGCGUUGCAUCGAAUUAAUCCACAUAAUCCACCGCUUGUGCGGGUCCCCGUCAAUUCCUUUGAGUUUUAACCUUGCGGCCGUACUCCCCAGGCGGUCAACUUCACGCGUUAGCUUCGCUACCAAGGAAUUGCUUCCCCGACAACCAGUUGACAUCGUUUAGGGCGUGGACUAC
rnacentral:misc_RNA from 1 species